GGGUUGUGAGGUUAAGCGACUAAGCGUACACGGUGGAUGCCCUGGCAGUCAGAGGCGAUGAAGGGCGUGCUAAUCUGCGAUAAGCGCCGGUAAGGUGAUAUGAACCGUUAUAACCGGCGAUACCCGAAUGGGGAAACCCAGUGUGAUUCGUCACACUAUCAUUAACUGAAUCCAUAGGUUAAUGAGGCGAACCGGGGGAACUGAAACAUCUAAGUACCCCGAGGAAAAGAAAUCAACCGAGAUUCCCCCAGUAGCGGCGAGCGAACGGGGAGGAGCCCAGAGCCUGAAUCAGCAUGUGUGUUAGUGGAAGCGUCUGGAAAGGCGCGCGAUACAGGGUGACAGCCCCGUACACAAAAGCGCAUGUGCUGUGAGCUCGAUGAGUAGGGCGGGACACGUGGUAUCCUGUCUGAAUAUGGGGGGACCAUCCUCCAAGGCUAAAUACUCCUGACUGACCGAUAGUGAACCAGUACCGUGAGGGAAAGGCGAAAAGAACCCCGGCGAGGGGAGUGAAAAAGAACCUGAAACCGUGUACGUACAAGCAGUGGGAGCACCCUUUGGGUGUGACUGCGUACCUUUUGUAUAAUGGGUCAGCGACUUAUAUUCUGUAGCAAGGUUAACCGAAUAGGGGAGCCGGAGGGAAACCGAGUCUUAAUUGGGCGUUAAGUUGCAGGGUAUAGACCCGAAACCCGGUGAUCUAGCCAUGGGCAGGUUGAAGGUUGGGUAACACUAACUGGAGGACCGAACCGACUAAUGUUGAAAAAUUAGCGGAUGACCUGUGGCUGGGGGUGAAAGGCCAAUCAAACCGGGAGAUAGCUGGUUCUCCCCGAAAGCUAUUUAGGUAGCGCCUCGUGAAUUCAUCUCCGGGGUAGAGCACUGUUUCGGCUAGGGGCCAUCCCGGCUUACCAACCCGAUGCAAACUGCGAAUACCGGAGAAUGUUAUCACGGGAGACACACGGCGGGUGCUAACGUCCGUCGUGAAGAGGGAAACAACCCAGACCGCCAGCUAAGGUCCCAAAGUCAUGGUUAAGUGGGAAACGAUGUGGGAAGGCCCAGACAGCCAGGAUGUUGGCUUAGAAGCAGCCAUCAUUUAAAGAAAGCGUAAUAGCUCACUGGUCGAGUCGGCCUGCGCGGAAGAUGUAACGGGGCUAAACCAUGCACCGAAGCUGCGGCAGCGACACUGUGUGUUGUUGGGUAGGGGAGCGUUCUGUAAGCCUGUGAAGGUGUGUCGUGAGGCAUGCUGGAGGUAUCAGAAGUGCGAAUGCUGACAUAAGUAACGAUAAAGCGGGUGAAAAGCCCGCUCGCCGGAAGACCAAGGGUUCCUGUCCAACGUUAAUCGGGGCAGGGUGAGUCGACCCCUAAGGCGAGGCCGAAAGGCGUAGUCGAUGGGAAACGGGUUAAUAUUCCCGUACUUGGUGUUACUGCGAAGGGGGGACGGAGAAGGCUAUGUUGGCCGGGCGACGGUUGUCCCGGUUUAAGCGUGUAGGUGUGUGUUCGGUAAAAAUCCGGUUCACUUUAACACUGAGGCGUGACGACGAGGCACUACGGUGCUGAAGCAACAAAUGCCCUGCUUCCAGGAAAAGCCUCUAAGCAUCAGGUAACAUCAAAUCGUACCCCAAACCGACACAGGUGGUCAGGUAGAGAAUACCAAGGCGCUUGAGAGAACUCGGGUGAAGGAACUAGGCAAAAUGGUGCCGUAACUUCGGGAGAAGGCACGCUGACACGUAGGUGAAGUGAUUUACUCAUGGAGCUGAAGUCAGUCGAAGAUACCAGCUGGCUGCAACUGUUUAUUAAAAACACAGCACUGUGCAAACACGAAAGUGGACGUAUACGGUGUGACGCCUGCCCGGUGCCGGAAGGUUAAUUGAUGGGGUCAGCGCAAGCGAAGCUCCUGAUCGAAGCCCCGGUAAACGGCGGCCGUAACUAUAACGGUCCUAAGGUAGCGAAAUUCCUUGUCGGGUAAGUUCCGACCUGCACGAAUGGCGUAAUGAUGGCGGGCUGUCUCCACCCGAGACUCAGUGAAAUUGAACUCGCUGUGAAGAUGCAGUGUACCCGCGGCAAGACGGAAAGACCCCGUGAACCUUUACUAUAGCUUGACACUGAACAUUGAGCCUUGAUGUGUAGGAUAGGUGGGAGGCUUUGAAGUGUGGACGCCAGUCUGCAUGGAGCCGACCUUGAAAUACCACCCUUUAAUGUUUGAUGUUCUAACGUGGACCCGUUACCCGGGUUGCGGACAGUGUCUGGUGGGUAGUUUGACUGGGGCGGUCUCCUCCUAAAGAGUAACGGAGGAGCACGAAGGUUGGCUAAUCCUGGUCGGACAUCAGGAGGUUAGUGCAAUGGCAUAAGCCAGCUUGACUGCGAGCGUGACGGCGCGAGCAGGUGCGAAAGCAGGUCAUAGUGAUCCGGUGGUUCUGAAUGGAAGGGCCAUCGCUCAACGGAUAAAAGGUACUCCGGGGAUAACAGGCUGAUACCGCCCAAGAGUUCAUAUCGACGGCGGUGUUUGGCACCUCGAUGUCGGCUCAUCACAUCCUGGGGCUGAAGUAGGUCCCAAGGGUAUGGCUGUUCGCCAUUUAAAGUGGUACGCGAGCUGGGUUUAGAACGUCGUGAGACAGUUCGGUCCCUAUCUGCCGUGGGCGCUGGAGAACUGAGGGGGGCUGCUCCUAGUACGAGAGGACCGGAGUGGACGCAUCACUGGUGUUCGGGUUGUCAUGCCAAUGGCACUGCCCGGUAGCUAAAUGCGGAAGAGAUAAGUGCUGAAAGCAUCUAAGCACGAAACUUGCCCCGAGAUGAGUUCUCCCUGAGACUUAGAGUCUCCUGAAGGAACGUUGAAGACGACGACGUUGAUAGGCCGGGUGUGUAAGCGCAGCGAUGCGUUGAGCUAACCGGUACUAAUGAACCGUGAGGCUUAACCUUACAACGCCGAAG
rnacentral:rRNA from 1 species